AUCGCGGCUGGUUCGGGCUCGGGCCGGUCUCGGUGCGGCCGGGCCGGCAGCGCGACGGCAUCGGCUCGGCCCUGAUCCGCGAGG
rnacentral:tRNA from 1 species